CAACUGCCUCUCAUCUAGAAACAGUCCAGCAAUGGUUCCAACACCAAACUGCCCAACAAUAGGAGGGGAGAAAGGCCAUGGUCAUCACCAUGUGUGGCCUAAAUUACAGAAGAAAUUCAGUGGAAAGGAAAUGCCUACGUAAUUCCUUUACUCUGCUUCUACAGGGAAGAAAACGACCUGAAUGUAUCUUACGAAGACACCAACAAGCGCAAGUUACCACAUUGGCAGCUAUUUUCAUUUUUGUUCCCCAAAUCAAAAUGAAACAAUUGGUAACAAGAAAUUCAAAGUGCAGCAAAGAGGAUAACAAGAAGGUUUUUUUCUGAUGCACCUUUGACCUUUCUAAAAGUUAAUUAUUUUCUCUCAUUCAUAUACUUUUUUGUCUUAAGUUUCUCCCAUGAUUUUAUUCAGGAAAAAAUGAAAGACCUUCCUUGAGGGAGGGAGAUAAAGACUAGCCAAAGAGGUAAGAAGAAAGAUAUUCUUUUAAAUUAAUUGAAGCCUCAGAUCCUGUGCCAUCCGUUUCACCGCCUUCCUCCGGAGAACGGCAGGAGGUCCAUGCACCACUCACUCACACUCACAUAUCCAGUAGACAUCUGUCAGCACCUGCGAUGUGCCAGGCAUUGUACUGGGCACUGAGGAUGAGACGUUGUCCCAGUAGAGCCCAGGACCCUCCAGAAACUGCAGGCUAGUUAACAGGAAAGAAAGGCGAGAAAAUCAAAUGGCAGUAACACCAUUUAACGACUGACACCUUCACCAGAGACUGGAUUCCAGUCCAAGAAUUGGCACUCGGCAACCACAAAGUACACUCAAAGUCUAACAUGUCUGAUGAAGGUCCAUUGCUCGAAGUCCACACCCUGAGUCUAUAAAGGAGAGGGUCCUGGAAAACCGGCUUCCCAAGCUAGCACUUGGUGGAGUGCUAGCCAGGUGGAGCCUCGGCGCCCUGGCAACGUCCCGUGUGUCUGCACAGGGAUCCACAGCACCAUCCUCGCCCCCUGAAACCCAGCUCGCGCUGUGUGGCUCUGGCUUCCGCUACUCCAGUAGCUUCACAGUAGAGAAUUAACAUCCUACCACUUUGCAUUUGCCCAAGGGGACCUUACCCAGCUUUUGACGGCUUCUGUAUUUUAGUAAAGUUUCCUUUGCCUCUUUUCUACUAUUCUCUCAAGGUUUGAGUAUUUAUGGUCUACAUGGUGUUCUAAUGACAUUCUCUUCUACAUCAUCCAAGUCACUCUCAAAACAUUAAACAUCACAGACCUAAGAUUAGCACAAUCCCAUAUGACCCUCAAGUGGGCCCUAAAUCACCCAGGCCUCUCAGCAACUUGACUUUCUACUCAGAAAGGAAUUUGUGAAGAAUGAUUCUUUGAUUAUUUUUGUUCGUUUCAUUAACUUUUGGCCAAGGCUGUUUUUAUUUUUCUGUUAUUAGUAACUCGGAUACAAUCCCUUUUUAACUCCUCAUUUAGUUUUAGUACAAAGCAGUUCAUUAACGCAAAACCAAAUCAAAUGUUUUGACUUCCACUCUUUUAUCUUAAUCAAUGUAACAAAAGUAAAAACAAAAAAUACAAAAUCAUGAACAAAACCUGUAUAGAAAUUCGUUAAAUAAAGAGGAAGGGC
ensembl:lncRNA